GAUGAACGCUGGCGGCGUGCCUAAUACAUGCAAGUCGAGCGAACAGACGAGGAGCUUACUCCUCUGACGUUAGCGGCGGACGGGUGAGUAACACGUGGAUAACCUACCUAUAAGACUGGGAUAACUUCGGGAAACCGGAGCUAAUGCCGGAUAACAUGUUGAACCGCAUGGUUCAACAGUGAAAGACGGUCUUGCUGUCACUUAUAGAUGGAUCCGCGUCGCAUUAGCUAGUUGGUAAGGUAACGGCUUACCAAGGCAACGAUGCGUAGCCGACCUGAGAGGGUGAUCGGCCACACUGGAACUGAGACACGGUCCAGACUCCUACGGGAGGCAGCAGUAGGGAAUCUUCCGCAAUGGGCGAAAGCCUGACGGAGCAACGCCGCGUGAGUGAAGAAGGUCUUCGGAUCGUAAAACUCUGUUAUUAGGGAAGAACAAAUGUGUAAGUAACUAUGCACGUCUUGACGGUACCUAAUCAGAAAGCCACGGCUAACUACGUG
rnacentral:rRNA from 1 species